rnacentral:rRNA from 1 species
UAAUACGAAGGGUGCAAGCGUUAAUCGGAAUUACUGGGCGUAAAGCGUGCGUAGACGGCCUUUUAAGUCUGCUGUGAAAGCCCUGGGCUCAACCUGGGAACUGCAGUGGAUACUGUGAGGCUGGAGUGCGGUAGAGGAUGGUGGAAUUCCCGGUGUAGCGGUGAAAUGCGUAGAGAUCGGGAGGAACAUCAGUGGCGAAGGCGGCCAUCUGGACCAGCACUGACGUUGAGGCACGAAAGCGUGGGGAGCAAACAGG